rnacentral:rRNA from 1 species
GAUGAACGCUGGCGGCGUGCCUAAUACAUGCAAGUCGAGCGAACAGACGAGGAGCUUGCUCCUCUGACGUUAGCGGCGGGCGGGUGAGUAACACGUGGAUAACCUACCUAUAAGACUGGGAUAACUUCGGGAAACCGGAGCUAAUACCGGAUAAUAUAUUGCACCGCAUGGUUCACUAGUGAAAGACGGUUUUGCUGUCACUUAUAGAUGGAUCCGCGCCGCAUUAGCUAGUUGGUAAGGUAACGGCUUACCAAGGCAACGAUGCGUAGCCGACCUGAGAGGGUGAUCGGCCACACUGGAACUGAGACACGGUCCAGACUCCUACGGGAGGCAGCAGUAGGGAAUCUUCCGCAAGGGGAGAAAGCCUGACGGAGCAACGCCGCGUGAGUGAUGAAGGGCUUCGGAUCGUAAAACUCUGUUAUUAGGGAAGAACAAAUGUGUAAGUAACUAUGCACGUCUUGACGGUACCUAAUCAGAAAGCCACGGCUAACUACGUG